rnacentral:lncRNA from 1 species
GUAAAAGUCACCAUUUGUCCCUUCUGUAAAGUUUUAAAUUGGUUUAAUAAUAAUAUAAGAGCUUAAAUCAAAUAUUUUGUCAGAAAAGUGAAAAAUGUAAUGCUUUUUAUUUAGUUCAUGUGACUUGAGUAAUCUUUAGGAAAUAAACAGUUUUAAAGAUUAUUGGUAAAAUACAGUUGUCUUGAAAAUGUAAACAUGUGGUCUAAGUUAUGUUCAAAUAUUAGGUUUGCUAAAUGCUUUAAGGUCAUAAACUGCUUCUUUGGUGUUUGAAAUUUGUUUAACUUGCCUGCUUUCCAGCUAGGUAAGGCCUGAGGACAGCCCACUCGGGAUGGCCCUGGGGGCUUCUGAGAUGAAAGAGGCCUUCUUGGGAGGCUCCCAGCAUUCCCUGUGCUCUUGCCUCUUCUCCCCUCUGCCUGCCUGAAGAUCCCCCUGAGUCCCUGCCACCCCCUCUCCAUGGGGAGUUGGCCAUGCCCCUAACUAUGCUGGAAACAUUCUAAUCUUAUCAGAACACAACUUAGCAGGUUUUACAUUACAAUUAAGAUUGCUAGGAGUCACCAUUAACAUGUAAUUAAGAUUACUAGAAACAGUUUUAUAUGCAAGAUGUGUAAGAAUAGUAAAAUGUGUUUUUUUUUUUUUUUUGGUAAAAGGUUAUAAAGGGUUUUUGCUUAAAAUUUCUGAGUCAUCAUUUUGGCAAAAUAAGUAAUUUAGGGCAAUCUGGAAUUCCAAAAUCAAACUUCAGUUUCAAAAUUGUCUUUUCUAAUGCCUGGCUUUUUGGAUGGAUCAGAUGGCCCCUGAAAACAUCCAGAAAAGAGUUAUAAUAGAGUUGGAUGAACAGAAAAGUAUCUAUGCUGCAGCUGGCACUUAUGACCUACGGAAAAAUACAUUAAAUGAAGAUUAUGGAAAUUCAGUGAAGGAGAUGAGACUGCUAAGUUAAAGACCAUCUAGCUUCAGAUGAUCAUGCAACAAAGGCUCCAGCCAAUUCCAGGUAAAGACACCACCCCUGGCCAUCAAGGAGAUACCCUGCCUCCACUAGAGAGAGCAGAGUGAGAGUUCUGUGAUCCUCAAUAGGUAGAAACUACACCCCAAGCCAGCAUGAAGCAGCUACAGAAGAAAGACCAGCUGUCCCUCUGCCUCCCAUAAAGAUUUAUGAAGAUCACAUCUCUCAGUGGGGAAAUGAGUCAAGAAAAUAAUGUCUGGAGGCAGGGAACAUAAGGCCAAUUAACACUUCAGCUAUGACAGGAAAUAUCCUUUCCAUAGGGUGUACACUAAGUGACUUCGUAACCUUACUUUGUCCUCUUCAUUUACAUAGGGCAUACAGCAAGUAACCAAUGGAAACUGCUAGAGUGUAUUUAAACUCCCACAAAUUCUGUAAUGGGGCCCUAUGCUCAUGCCCAUUACCAC